rnacentral:rRNA from 1 species
AGAGUUUGAUCCUGGCUCAGAUUGAACGCUGGCGGCAUGCCUUACACAUGCAAGUCGAACGGCAGCACGGGAGCAAUCCUGGUGGCGAGUGGCGAACGGGUGAGUAAUAUAUCGGAACGUGCCCAGUCGUGGGGGAUAACGUAGAGAAAUUUACGCUAAUACCGCAUACGAUCUAAGGAUGAAAGCGGGGGAUCGCAAGACCUCGCGCGAUUGGAGCGGCUGAUAUCAGAUUAGGUUGUUGGUGAGGUAAAAGCUCACCAAGCCGACGAUCUGUAGCUGGUUUGAGAGAACGACCAGCCACACUGGGACUGAGACACGGCCCAGACUCCUACGGGAGGCAGCAGUGGGGAAUUUUGGACAAUGGGCGAAAGCCUGAUCCAGCAAUGCCGCGUGCAGGAAGAAGGCCUUCGGGUUGUAAACUGCUUUUGUACGGAACGAAACGGUCUGCCCUAAUACGGCGGGCUAAUGACGGUACCGUAAGAAUAAGCACC